rfam:Aedes albopictus isolate Foshan contig64321, whole genome shotgun sequence.
AGCUCGAUAGCUUAGUUGGUAAAGCACUUGUCUAGCGUAUAAGGGUCGUGAGUUUAAAUCUUUCCUGAGCUG